GUGCCAGCCGCCGCGGUAAUACGGAGGGAGCUAGCGUUGUUCGGAAAUACUGGGCGUAAAGCGCACGUAGGCGGCGUCGUAAGUCAGGGGUGAAAUCCCGGGGCUCAACCCCGGAACUGCCCUUGAAACUGCAAUGCUAGAAUCUUGGAGAGGCGAGUGGAAUUCCGAGUGUAGAGGUGAAAUUCGUAGAUAUUCGGAAGAACACCAGUGGCGAAGGCGACUCGCUGGACAAGUAUUGACGCUGAGGUGCGAAAGCGUGGGGAGCAAACAGGAUUAGAAACCCUGGUAGUCC
rnacentral:rRNA from 1 species